GUCUUCAGCUACCAGAGUGGGUAGGGAAGGACCAUCAAGUGGGGGCAGGGCUAGGUGUGUCUGAGCUCAGACUCUCCUUGGGUGAGUCUUGCUGUGGCUGCUGUGGGGGAGGGGGGGGUGAGGUUCCCAGGUGAAUAGAGUUGUGUACCUAGGAGGAUAAUGGCUGCCUCUGCUGAGUCAUGCAGGUUGUUAGGGAAGUGAGGGAAAGCUGGCAGUCACAGGCCUCACCCAGCUCCCAUGCAAUCCAAAUGGCCAGUCUCACUCUCACCAUGCCCCCUCUAAAGCAUUGAGUCUGUUUCCAAGCAGUGGGUAAGCAGGGGUGAGAACUUGCCGCAGGCUACCCACCUCCCAGCUGUGAAAGAAAAGGGCUUUCGUUCUUCCCCCACCUGUGGAGUCUACACGCUGGAUUUGUGCCCUCCCUUGAGUUCUGGCCAGGAGGCUUCUCCACCUGUUCAAAUUGUUAUAAAGUUCAGCUGGAGACUUCCUUCUCUCCGUGGCAUUUUCCUCAUGCCUCUGGCCACCCUCCCAAAGGAUCCCUGUGAGGCCAGGCAGGAAUGGCCUGCUUGGGGACCCAGCAAGCUUCUAGGGCCUUUGCUGCUGCUUCCUCUACCCCUGUAUUUCGCUCGGCUCUCUAAAUGGACUCAGCUCCAGAUGAGGAAACGGAGAUUCACAAAAAUCAGGUCAUUUGUCUGAGGUCCGAGUACUGUGUGAUAGAGCAAAGAUUUGAACCCAGCUCUCUACUUACAGGUAAAUUGUCUUGUGAUUAUUUCCACAGAACUCUGACUUGGAUAAGACUUGUAUCCAUUUUAUUACGAUGUUCUUCUUUUUUACAAUUUAGUUCCCCAGAGGGCAAGACCAAGCUACCUAAGAUCGGAACCCUCUGAUAAUUUGUGCUGCUAUUUUAAGAUCCAGUUCCAUUCUACAACUGGCUGAAGCAUGAAGUCAACUAAAAUAAACUGAAUUGAGUGGAACUGAACUGAACUGAAGUGAAAUAAUGUGAUUUCCAGUAAACCUGACACCUUAAGGACAGAACAUGAGCCUUGCCCAUCUUCCUCCCAGAGGUCCCAGCACAAUCACCGACUCACACAAUACUCUCAGUGCAUGAGUGAUGAAUUUCACUAACAGCGACCCAUCUCUCUACAUAAUCCACUCCGGUUUCACCAGAGCUGAGAGUAUCAUGAAUUACAUCUAUAGAUAGCUGUAAGCUAAUGACCAAAGCACAUAACUGAAUUCAAACAUAUUCUUUAUUGCAGUCAGAUGUGAGAAAACAAAAUUUAGAAGACAAGCCAGAAAGGAAAUGAAGAACAUAAAGAGCCUGAAUUCUCAUCGUCAAUUUUUCCCUGACUGACUCCGUUUUCCUCUCUUCUUUCCAUUUACCUUUCUGUUCCCAUCCCCAUCAUUUUUGUAGUGUUUAUUGAGUGUCUGCUGCAUGCCAGUCAAUGUGCUGAGUACUUUUCAUGUGUUAUACCAUUUGAUCGUCACAGCAGCACACUAUUAUAAUUAUGAAUAUGAUUCCACAUACUAUAUCUAAAAUUUAACUUAAUUUUACAUAGGAGGAAGCUGAGACUUGCCCAAGACUACUCCAUUAGUAAGAUGUGAACCAAGUGAACCAUGUCUGACUCAAACCUAACCCCUGAUUCUCUGAAUCCAUAUCACCGUAGAACUCAACAGUGAAAUAUUGGGGUAGAGAUGGAUGUACCUGCUUCUUGAGCUGAAUUCUCACCAAUCCCUCAUUUCUGGUCAUUCUUAACCUUACUCCCAGAUGUGUUUGGUCUACUGCAGCCUUCGGAUCCCUACUAGAGUUUGCCUUAGGAAUCAGCUUUCUCAGACCUGUGUCUGAGAUAAAAUGUCUGGGAUAAAAUGUCAUUUAUCCUGCUUCCUGGAUUCUGAAAUUUGAUGAUUCUGUUCUCCUCUUUCAUCUCUUCUUUCUUAAACCCUUUUUUUUAAAAAAAAAUCCUGUAACUGUCAUUUACUGGAACUUCAGAGAGAAGCAGAGGUUAAUACCUAUGUUCAAUGGAUACAGGAGAUAAAAAGAAAUUAUUUAGGCAGUUAAUGAGGGUAAGAGAGUUCUUGGCAAGGCUUCCCUUUUAACACAAGCAACCCGCCAAAUCAUUUCUUUUCUAACAAAGAGCAGCCGGUAAAAUCAAGCCACAGACACAGAUAAGCAAGCUAGAAGCUUUCACAGGUAAAUGUGGCAACUGUGCCAAUAGAAACACACUACCUAAGGGCCAGGUAUGUUCAACAUGGAGGUUCCCUCUUCCCUUUUGUGGCUACAUAAGUGGUAAAAAAGCAUGGAGCCAGCCAGGUAGAGGCCUCAUCUGCAUAAUAAAAGAUUAGGGUGAGAUGUCCAGCUUCUUCACGCCCUAUGCAAACAGCACACCUGGUCUGACUAAUCUCUUGAUCCCUAUGUAAAUGAGACACCGCCUCCUCAAGCUCCUCUAUGAAAUCCCUUGCAUUUCAGUAGGAAACCAGAAGACCCACUUGGGAGCCCCAUGCUCUCUCUGCAGGAAAGAGAGCUUUUCUUGUCUCUUUUCUCUCGCCUAUUAAACCUCAGCUCUUCAACUCACUUCUUGUGUGUCUGUGUCCUUGAUUUCCUUAGUGUGAGACAACGAACCUCAGAUAUUUACCACAGACAACGUAGCCACUUCACAAUCUUGCAAAUUUUCACCAAGUCCUUUUCAUUAUUAUGUAAGGAGUUGGAACUGACUGAUGAGGGUUUGAUUGUGAUUGCCUCUAGCUCUCCCUGAUAGCAUUUGGAUGAGCUGGACAGAUGUAGGAUUAACAAAGGUCUGUAGGGUGGAGCAAAUAUGUCUCAUUACCAAGGGUAAAAUUUCAAGUGAAGAGGCUCCCAUACUAGAGCAACCACAACAAAACAAAUAACCAUGGAUUUGGGACUGAACACUAGGAAAGAGUGAAUAUAUGUUUUUGAGGUCAGCUGUGCUGAAGGCAAGAGAAGAACAUUGCCAAGUAACUUCCAAAUGUGACAUUUUUCAACCUUGGUUUAUGACUGAAAAGCCAAGAAAGACUAAGCUAAAAUGGAAUUCAGCUUCCCAGCCUAAAUAGUGGGAGAGGUCCAAAAUACAGCUAAGGAAAAUUUUACUGGGAAAGCUAGUUGUAUCCAUUUACUCUGUUCUACACAUAUCAAUUAGAAAUUUUAAAAAGGUAAGUUUGAUCAAGCUUUUAUUCCGACAUUUGAAAA
rnacentral:lncRNA from 10 species